CUGCGGCCCUGGGCUGUGCUCCGGCGCUCCCCUCGUCCAGAGGCAUUCUCCUGAGCUACCAGAAGGGGGUGCAUCCAGAACAGGUGUAUAUAACCCACACGAGCUUCCUGGAUUUCACACAGAGGGUCAUGGUGGAGGGCAGAGCUAACAUUCAGGAUGCACCCUCUCUCCUCCCUCCCCCUCCCCCCACCCCGCCCGCAGCGGCUAAGCUGGUGGAGCUUCUCUAAGGCAAAGAGAACUCCUGGGUGUGUGUGGGAGCACCACCUGCCCGGGGUGUUGCACUCACACCGAGGAGUCCCUGGUUUUA